rnacentral:piRNA from 1 species
UAUAAUGUUGCCUGCAGUUACUUUAACAAU